rnacentral:rRNA from 1 species
UACGUAGGGGGCUAGCGUUGUCCGGAAUUAUUGGGCGUAAAGAGCUCGUAGGCGGUCUGUCGCGUCGGUCGUGAAAACCUGCAGCUUAACUGUGGGCGUGCGGUCGAUACGGGCAUGACUGGAGUUCGGCAGGGGAGACUGGAAUUCCUGGUGUAGCGGUGAAAUGCGCAGAUAUCAGGAGGAACACCGGUGGCGAAGGCGGGUCUCUGGGCCGAUACUGACGCUGAGGAGCGAAAGCGUGGGGAGCGAACAGG